CCGCACUGGUUUAGAAGCUGCUUCUCAUUCGCACACGAAACUUCUCAAAUCCGCACCGAUCUUUGUCUCUCUUAUCUUCUUCUUGAGCGGCGGCCCUCGGUGGCUGAUGGCGCGUGUGGCCCCCGGUGGCUUCUGGCUGGCGUGGGGGAUCGGCGGCGCACGGGCCCUUCGACCCGCUUCCGAUGCCGCUCCACUCCCCCGCGCUGCCUCGCAGCUCGGCAGCUCCUCCGCACCUCCCGUCGCACUCACAAGGGCGCUGUCCGGAAAUUCGCCCAAAUCGACCUCGACCCAGCCCAUCUGCCUCCUCUUCCAGGCUCUCCAGCUCCCCCCGCUCUGCUCGCCUCGGCGUGCAGCCGUGUUGGCUGCUGCUUGGUUUUUCAGCGGAAGGACACCAUGUCGGCCUCAGCAUCGUCGCUGCCGGCGGGCGAGGAGAACAAGCAAGAGGCGGCGCCCGUCAGGCACUGCAAGGGCAUCAACGACCUUAACAAGGUCAUGCUCCUCGAGCAAAGGGCGUCGUCGCCGCCGCCGCCACGGGCGACUGAGCCACCCCCAUCGUAAUCUCCAUGGGUGGUUCACAGGCAGCUGUGAUCUCUCAAGUGGAUCAUCCCCAGCCAGAUGUACCCGCUGGAGGUGAGGUCGGCGGGGAAGGGGAUGAGCGAGGCCAUCUCGCUGGCGCUCACCUUCGUGCAGACGCAGUCCUUCCUCAACGCGCUACUUGGCUCGGGCGAUGAAGGAAGGAAGGAGAUCGACGCGCGCCUCUGCUCGGCAGUUGUCGACGAGCAGGGAGAUGGCGGCGGUGUUGACUUGAUUGGCGGCGAGCUGGGAGGCGUCGUAGAUCUCGUGAAGCACGACACGAAGCACUUCGUGGAAUUGGAUUUGGGAGCUGAGAAUCAGUACAUUAGGCAAAGUACUAAACUACCCUUAAUUAUUUUUUUUAUUAAGACCUGCCGCAACCGGUUCCUCCCAAGCACCGUAAAAAAUCUCAAUAAAUAAAUGGUGUAUCAGAAAAUUAAAUUAUGCAAGUUGUGCGCAUGCACAGCUUAGCAGAUGUGUAUUAUCGUGUUAUACAAUAGCACGGAAUUGUGAUGGUAUAUUGGUAUAUAUAGCAUUUGAUUUGGCUGAGGUGAUACAAAAAUUGACCCUUGAACAAUAUAUUGUAAGAGGAGGGGGUUUAAGGGAACAAUAUCCCCUGCUGCUCUGCUUUGCCU